rnacentral:rRNA from 1 species
GACGAACGCUGGCGGCGUGCCUAAUACAUGCAAGUGGAGCGACGAACCAGGGCUUGCCCUGGGGCAGAGCCGCGAACGGGUGAGUAACACGUGGGUAACCUGCCCUGAUGAUUGGGACAACCCGAGGAAACUCGGGCUAAUACCAAAUGUGCUCAACGAUCUUAAGGUUGUUGUGGAAAGGUAGCUUCGGCUAACCGCAUCAGGAUGGGCCCGCGGCCCAUUAGCUUGUUGGUGGGGUAAUGGCUUACCAAGGCUUCGAUGGGUAGCUGGUCUGAGAGGACGAUCAGCCACACUGGGACUGAGACACGGCCCAGACUCCUACGGGAGGCAGCAGUAGGGAAUCUUGCGCAAUGCGCGAAAGCGUGACGCAGCAACGCCGCGUGGAGGAAGACGGUCUUCGGAUUGUAAACUCCUUUCAGUUGGGACGAAGCUUUCGCGUUGAAUAGACGUUGGAAGUGACGGUACCUUCAGAAGAAGCCCCGGCUAACUACGUGCCAGCCGCCGCCGUAACAC